rnacentral:rRNA from 1 species
CAGGCCUAACACAUGCAAGUCGAACGGAAUGCUUCGGCAUUCAGUGGCGGACGGGUGAGUAACGCGUGAGAAUCUGCCUUCAGGAUGGGGACAACAGUGAGAAAUCGCUGCUAAAACCCAAUGUGCCGAAAGGUGAAAUAUUUAUAGCCUGAAGAGGAGCUCGCGUCCGAUUAGUUAGUUGGUGGGGUAAAGGCCUACCAAGGCAGCGAUCGGUAGCUGGUCUGAGAGGAUGAGCAGCCACACUGGGACUGAGACACGGCCCAGACUCCUACGGGAGGCAGCAGUGGGGAAUUUUCCGCAAUGGGCGAAAGCUGACGGAGCAAUACCGCGUGAGGGAGGAAGGUUUUUGGAUUGUAAACCUCUUUUUUAAAGGAAGAAGAAAGUGACGGUACUUUAAGAAUAAGCAUCGGCUAACUCCGUGCCAGCAGCCGCGGUAAUACGGAGGAUGCAAGCGUUAUCCGGAAUCAUUGGGCGUAAAGCGUCCGCAGUGGUUAAUCAAGUCUGCUGUUAAAGACAGAAGCUCAACUUCUGGUCGGCAGUGGAAACUGGUGAACUAGAGUACGGUAGGGGUUGAGGGAAUUCCCAGUGUAGCGGUGAAAUGCGUAGAUAUUGGGAAGAACACCAGUGGCGAAGGCGCUCAACUGGGCCGUAACUGACACUCAGGGACGAAAGCUAGGGUAGCGAAAGGGAUUAGAUACCCCUGUAGUCUUAGCUGUAAACGAUGAACACUAGGCGUUGCUUGUAUCGACCCGAGCAGUGCCGUAGCCAACGCGUUAAGUGUUCCGCCUGGGGAGUACGCACGCAAGUUGAAACUCAAUAGG